rnacentral:rRNA from 1 species
UACGUAGGGUGCGAGCGUUGUCCGGAAUUAUUGGGCGUAAAGAGCUCGUAGGCGGUCUGUCGCGUCGAUCGUGAAAACUUGGGGCUUAACCCUGAGCUUGCGGUCGAUACGGGCAUGACUGGAGUUCGGCAGGGGAGACUGGAAUUCCCUGGUGUAGCGGGUGAAAUGCGCAGAUAUCAGGAGGAACACCGGUGGCGAAGGCGGGUCUCUGGGCAACAACUGACGCUGAGGAGCGAAAGCGUGGGGAGCGAACAGG